GUGGGGAAUCUUAGACAAUGGGCGCAAGCCUGAUCUAGCCAUGCCGCGUGAGCGAUGAAGGCCUUAGGGUUGUAAAGCUCUUUCGUGGGGGAAGAUAAUGACUGUACCCCAAGAAGAAGCCCCGGCUAACUCCGUGCCAGCAGCCGCGGUAAUACGGAGGGGGCUAGCGUUGUUCGGAAUUACUGGGCGUAAAGCGCACGUAGGCGGACUGGAAAGUCAGGGGUGAAAUCCCGGUGCUCAACCCCGGAACUGCCUUUGAAACUCCCAGUAUUGAGUUCGAGAGAGGUGAGUGGAAUUCCGAGUGUAGAGGUGAAAUUCGUAGAUAUUCGGAGGAACACCAGUGGCGAAGGCGGCUCACUGGCUCGAUACUGACGCUGAGGUGCGAAAGCGUGGGGAGCAAACAGGAUUAGAUACCCGUGUAGUCC
rnacentral:rRNA from 1 species